AUUGAACGCUGGCGGCAGGCCUAACACAUGCAAGUCGAGCGGAGCGGCGGACGGGUGAGUAAUGACUAGGAAUCAGCCUGGGACUGGGGGAUAAAGUCCGGAACCGGGCGCUAAUACAGCAUACUAUCAGAUUAGCCUCGGUCGGAUUAGCUAGUUGGUGGGGUAAAGGCCUACCAAGGCGACGAUCCGUAACUGGUCUGAGAGGAGGAUCAGUCACACUGGAACUGAGACACGGUCCAGACUACUACGGGAGGCAGCAGUGGGGAAUAUUGGACAAUGGGCGAAAGCCUGAUCCAGCCAUGCCGCGUGUGUGAAGAAGGUCUUCGGAUUGUAAAGCACUUUAAGUUGGGAGGCGUUACCAACAGAAUAAGCACCGGCUAACUUCGUGCCAGCAGCCGCGGUAAUAC
rnacentral:rRNA from 1 species